ensembl:lncRNA
AUUAAUGUGGCCUACCCUUCAUUUCUGGGAGACAAGAGAGACAUCGACCUCAUCAUAGCACCAGAAUACAGCGCAGGAAACAUGUUUGAGACUCUGACUCUUGCCAGAGACUACGCAGCCGAGGUGCAGAAGCCUUUCCCGGAGAUUGGUGAGACAGUCCUGCAGGACAGAGACUGGCCCAAGGACUGCUACGUGUUUGAAGGAAAAGGGAAGGAACCCACCAUCGUUUACAUGCCGCUCUUCAACAGACAAAACUGCAAAGAUGCAGAGGAGUUCAAAGCAAAGAUGGAGGAGUUCUCCACCUUCCAGCCCCCCUUCAACCAGGAGAAGAUCAAGUUUUUGUUGGAGACAGCCAAGGCUAACAUGAAGAACAACAAGGAAACUCUGCUGAGGGAGAUAAACAAAGCCGCCGUGCGCCGACAGAGCAAGAGGUGUGGACGGGCCUGAGUGUGUGUGUGUGUGUGUGUGUGUGUGUGUGUGUGUGUGUGUAGAUGGAGAUGAAGGAAUCAGAUCGUCCUACAGCACUGUCAAUGUAGGUCAAAGCUGAAUCUCAUAUCUCCUUAGAGCAUGUAAUCUGUGAGCUCACAGCGAGACAGGGGGAUGACAGAGGCUCGCUGUAUCUGUGUGAUCAGAGAGAGAUGUAACCAUGAUGGAAAAAUAACAUGCAUUCAUUCCUCUCUGUCUCCUGUUCUAGGUCUCUGCUGUGCCCGGUCUCUGACUCUUGUCUGUAGGGUUUUGUGUGUUUGAUUUCAUAAUACAUCACAUUUUAUACUCAAUGGUUUGUUACCAAAGUGUUUCCUUACAGAGGAAGACAGACAGGAAUCAGAAAGGAGAGCUGGGUUCCUGCUGAAAAAAUCAAGCAAGUCAGAGUAAAGUCCCAUUUAAAAAAGAGGUCAUUUAAUUCUAACUUUAACCUCAGAGGAAAAUGUUUUUAAAAACCCGACAGUUCUACAAGGAUUUUUCCAGAAAACAGACAAUCUGUUGUUUUUUUUAAUUCCUCAAAAUGUAUUUUUACAGAAUUCUUGUGAAAAGUGAAAGAAAUGACGUCAUUAUUAUUCAUAUAAGUAUUGUUAUUAGACAGAACUGCACCAAGCCCAUAUUCGACAUAUAAUCGAUGUAAACGCC